GCCCGGGUGGCUCAGUUGGUUAAGCGUCUGACUUCGGCUCAGGUCAUGAUCUCACAGUUUGUGAGUUCGAGACCCGCGUCGGGCU
rnacentral:tRNA from 1 species